rnacentral:misc_RNA from 1 species
AUGAGUUGCGCGGACGGCAUGCCCGCAGGCGGUAACGGUCGCUUCCGUGGUUACCCAGCGCGGAUGUCCGAGCGCCAGCAGCUCGCGCUUCUCCUCCAAAUGACCUCCCAGGAAAUGGUAUCAGGAACGGCUCGUUCUGAAAACAGCACGCAGAGUUCAUCGAAGACGGCGAUACAACAUCAGCGCGGUGCCAAGAGUCGAUGGACGAAUAAAAAUGGAGAGCCUGCCGUGCAUGGAACGACAAAUCGGAAGGAAGAGUUCCGUGUUGGGCAGUUACCGAAUGGCUACGACCCUAAUACCAGGGAUGCCAAUGACAGCGAGACAGCGAAUGCUCCUGGCGAAGACACCACAGCUGGCACCAGUCCAAGCUCUGACGACGAAGGAGCAGCUCCUGCGACGAGCAACACCUCGGGUUCUACCCCUGCGACUGUCUCCGGCGAGCAAGAAUCACAACAACAGCAGUACAAGGACUCUCAGGAACAUCAUCGGCAUCAACAACACUACCAGCACCAGCUGCGUACGUCGGGCAGUACCAGAGCCACUACGCCUCCUAUCGUCGAGGACGGUGGAGCCCCCUGUGAGAUGCGGAGGACACCACCGCAAAACAAAGUUGACAGAUCGGGAUCGGGCCAGUCCGGAAGCUCGCCGCGGGUGACCCUGCGGCUCAACCAGGUGCGGAGCGCGAGGGAUGAGAAGAAGGGCACCGGCAGCCGCCAGGUGAGCUCGCACACCCCGGGCCCCAUGGACGGGUCCUCGAAGACGUCGUCGGGCCCCGCGGCCCCUCCGGCCUCGGGCCCGGCCAGCUGCGGCGGCGCCUCCGCCGACGGCGGCGACGUCUACGAGUUCAAGAGCUCCAAGGAGGCGACCCCGGUGAGGGGGGCCAGCUCGUCGCCGGUCCCCGAAAAGGACCGCGAGGGGUCCAAGGCCCAGUCCGGAGGGGGCGGCCAGGGCGGGGGUGGAGGCGCCACAGGUGGAGGGACGGCCGCCACCCCCGCGGCCUCUUCGGACGCCGCGACGCCGUCUUCGGGGGCGGACGACGCCGCGGUCGCCGCCUCUCCCUCCUGCGGCAAGAGGGCCUUCGAGGGCGACCCCGUCGACGAGCAGGACGAGGAGAACCGGAGGAAGAAGAGGAAAGACUCGGAGGGCACCAAGGAGGGGCCCAAGGGCGCCGCCGGGAGGCAGACCACCGGCAGGAGCGGCGCGGGGGCCGGGGAAAAGUGCACGAAGUCCGGGAAGCAGGGUUCCGGCGCGGUUUCCGGGAAGAGCGGCCAGAGCCAGGGGAUCUCCAGCACGGACCGGAAGAGCCCCAGCUCUUCCGCAGCUUGUGGGAGCAGUCCGAAGCCCGUGAACCCUUCCGGCUCGACGAACUCGAAGACGGCGACCCCGGGACCUCCCGAAUCGGACGGCGAGGACGAUCGUUCGAAGAGCUCCUCGGAUUCGAGCUCGGCCCCGAAGGUGCCGCCCCUGAAGAUCGUCAUACCCCAGAGCACGGUGUCCGAGCAGGAGCAGGGCUGCAGGAACGGGAAGAGCACAUCGAAUCGGGGACAUCAGUUGCCCUACGUGGUGGCCAGCUCGAACAGCAACGAUUCCACGGACAAGGAUCAGUCGCAGACGGCUAGUGGCACGACCAGCCCCGUUGACGGUGCCACUACUUCAAAGGCAGAGGACAAGAAGGACUUCAGCGGGGCUCUGCCCGGAGAAGAAAGAUUCCUGCAUUACCAGAGGGUCCUCAGGAGUUCUCACAGGACCAGCAACGGUAGCAACGGAUCGUCCAAUCAGAAGGAGACAACCGGUGGAUCGGCGGGGAACGCGAGUUACUCGAACUCCUCACCGAUUCCAGCGACCUCCUCGACGGACCGGUCGAACAACUCGUCCCCUCAGCAGCAACGUCACCACUCGCCCACGCCCGAGACGACGACCACGGAGUCGAGCAAGGUCGCCACCUCGGAGUCGACCUCCGGCACCGCCAAGACGACCUCGGCUGCCGAGAAGUCGGAGAAGAACGCGGACUCGACCGGAAAGGGCCCGAAAGAUGGGACAUCGGAGGCCUCGGAGAGCACGACUUCGACGACCUCGGCUACCUCUGGAGGGCCGCCUGCCCCUACACCCGCGGUCGAGCUGCAUCCUAGGAAGAGAAAAAUGAAGCCGAACAAGGAGGCCCAGCAGGCGGCCACGGCGAACGUCGAGGCCAACGAGAACAGCAGUACCGGUCCCGAGGUGCAUCCGCAUGAUCAGCCCAUCACUAACUGCUAUCAACUGUUCCUGAAUAUCAGGAAGCAGAUCGAGAGAAGGAGGAAGGGUCUCUUCCCGGUCCAGCCGAAGCCUCCUCAGGGUUUCAAGGACUACCUGAUGAACCGAUGCACCUACGUUCUGGCUAGCAACGCGAAAAAAGAACCCAACGUGAGUCCACCCGCGGGCCUUCCGAACCCCAUGAAGGACCUCUACGUGGAGCAGGAGAAGGAGAGGUACCGCCUAAGGAUGCAGCACGUCGUCGAGAAGGAGAAGCUCGUCCUGUCGGUCGAGCAGGAGAUCCUGCGGGUCCAUGGCAGGGCUGCCAGGGCCCUGGCCAAUCAAUCCUUGCCCUUCUCCGUCUGUACCAUCCUGAAGGACGAGGAGGUCUACAACGUGAUCACCCCGGAACAGGAGGAAAAGGACCGCAACGCCAGAAGCAGGUACAACGGCCGGCUCUUCCUGAGCUGGCUGCAGGACGUCGAUGACAAGUGGGAGAAGAUCAAGGAGGCCAUGCUGCUAAGGCACCAUAAUGAGGCUGAGUCUUUGCACGCGGUCCAGCGGAUGGACUGGGAGUGGAAGCUGAAGGAGGUCGGCCUCUGCGAGUUCAAGUCCAGGCCGCAGAUAGACGUUCUUCAUGUACCUAUGGUGCACGUCUCGGAUGACUUCGACCUCUUGCCGGCUUAGUGAACCGAGCGUUCGUCGGUUUGCACGCCAGGUUGAACGCGAAUACGAAGCGAGGUUCUAGGGGAUCAUGCCCAUGAAGGCGAACCAUGGAAUGGCGGUCUCGUGGGGCCGGGUCUUUCGGCGCGAGAACCGUCGUCGUGGAAUUAAGACUCAAUUUACCCCGAUCACUUGGAUGCAUGGAAGUCCUGCUCUACAUGGCGCAAAGGUCAUAGGAUAGAGAGGAUACUGCGUAAUAAAGAGCUCGUUGAUAUCA